UGGGGAAUAUUGGACAAUGGGGGCAACCCUGAUCCAGCAAUGCCGCGUGUGUGAAGAAGGUCUUCGGAUUGUAAAGCACUUUCGACGGGGACGAUGAUGACGGUACCCGUAGAAGAAGCCCCGGCUAACUUCGUGCCAGCAGCCGCGGUAAUACGAAGGGGGCUAGCGUUGCUCGGAAUGACUGGGCGUAAAGGGCGUGUAGGCGGUUUACACAGUCAGAUGUGAAAUCCCCGGGCUUAACCUGGGAGCUGCAUUUGAUACGUGUAGACUAGAGUGUGAGAGAGGGUUGUGGAAUUCCCAGUGUAGAGGUGAAAUUCGUAGAUAUUGGGAAGAACACCGGUGGCGAAGGCGGCAACCUGGCUCAUGACUGACGCUGAGGCGCGAAAGCGUGGGGAGCAAACAGGAUUAGAUACCCUGGUAGUCCACGCUGUAAACGAUGUGUGCUAGAUGUUGGGUAACUUUGUUAUUCAGUGUCGCAGUUAACGCGUUAAGCACACCGCCUGGGGAGUACGGGCCGCAAGGUUGAAACUCUAAAGUGAAUU
rnacentral:rRNA from 1 species